GCUACCCCUUGGGUUGUCCCUACCCCCGAUCCCUCUCCAUCCACCCCACAUCCAUCCCCUAGCCCUACCAUCCCUUCAUCCACCCCGCAUCCAUCCCCUAGCCCCACCAUCCCUUCACCCAUCUCACAUUCAUCUCCUCGCCCCACCAUCCCUCCACCCACUCCACAUCCUUGUCCUGGGUCUGACAUUCAUCCACCCACCCCACGGUCAUUUCCCGAGCUGUCACCCAUUCCAUCCUUUGACCUGGGUAUUCAUCCAACCCCACCUGACAUGUAGCAGGAGCCACCCUCCCACAGUACGUCUAUUGGCCCUUCAUCAGCCAUUGACCCACCCCAUGUUCAGGUUGAGUAGGUUGGUGGGUUACCUGCUCAACCAGAAGGUCGACCGAAACGCAUAUCAAAGGCACCUCCUUGUGGGACAAGGGGGCACAAACAUGGACACAACGCUGGGCCCGAGGCAUCUAACGAAGGACAUGCAAGACCUCCUCAUUAUACGAGAUGGCAUAAGGUCCAAAAAAGAUGAUGAUGCUAUGAAAAGGCUGGAAGCACUGAAAUUCAAGUUCAGCACAAUAAAAGCAGCAACAAAUAACUUUUCUAAUGCCAAUAAGCUUGGAGAGGGCGGAUUUUAGGUCGAUUUUGAAGUGGCUGGGUCCAAGGAAACUGAUGAAAAGGCUGAUGAGGUUCUAAAGUAGGAUAUUUUGGAUUGUUGGACGGCAGAAAAUCACUAUCGAUGGUCUAAAUCUAAGUG